GGUGUCGUGACGUGAUGAAGCGGUGUGAUUGGUUUUGAAUCGUAUAGUGGUUGUGCAAGUAAGUUAUAGAAUUGAAAUACUUGGCGGCGAGACUGAGUCGAAAAACAUUAAAAAUCGAACAACAAAUACUUGAAAAGUUUAAUCCUUUUAAACGAUCUAUAAUAAUUUUAAAAAAACGCUUCUAAUUCUCAAAUUGCCAUUAAUACGUCGCGUCAGUUUGCGUUAUUCGAAUUUGCUCAGAUUCAUUCCUCUGAAAUUUUGGGGAUGUUUUUCAUCAGUUUCCGUUCACUUAUCAUCGUUGCAAAUAACGAUAAAGAUGUCGCUUCUAAAACAGAAUCUGAAGAAUUUAUCGUUCUUCCCGACUUCAACGCGGAAGAUGAUUCCGGUUUCAAGUGGGACCGAGCGAAAUAGCUGACGUGAGAAAUGCCCGUCAUCGAGUCCUUUAAAAGUUUUCUCUGGAACGGUAUUCGCUCGAAGUCGGCCUGUAAUCGACGGCGAAAUUGUGACGAUGAGUAUGCUCACCCCGC